AUGAAACACUCCUACGGGAGGCAGCAGUGAGGAAUAUUGGACAAUGGUCGGAAGACUGAUCCAGCCAUGCCGCGUGCAGGAUGACGGCCCUAUGGGUUGUAAACUGCUUUUGUAAGGGAAGAAUAAGGAGUACGUGUACUUUGAUGACGGUACCUUACGAAUAAGCAUCGGCUAACUCUGUGUUAGUAGUUGUGGUAAUACGGAGGAUGCGAGCGUUAUCCGGAAUCAUUGGGUUUAAAGGGUCCGUAGGCGGGCUAAUAAGUCAGAGGUGAAAGCGCUUAGCUCAACUAAGCAACUGCCUUUGAAACUGUUAGUCUUGAAUGGUUGUGAAGUAGUUGGAAUGUGUAGUGUAGCGGUGAAAUGCUUAGAUAUUACACAGAACACCGAUAGCGAAGGCAUAUUACUAACAAUUAAUUGACGCUGAUGGACGAAAGCGUGGGGAGCGAACAGGAUUAGAAACCCUAGUAGUCCGAAGUUC
rnacentral:rRNA from 1 species